AUCAGACCGGGAAAACAGUAGAAGGUGCUCAAACAGAGACGGCUGACCUUGGUGAAACAGCCGGCGCCCCUUCGAAUUGGAGCCGCGGUCAACAUUGCAAUACACCAAUAAGUGACGGGAAUUUCCCCGUAAGAUAGGUGGCACCGCGGUCAUUCGUCCUAUCC
rnacentral:misc_RNA from 1 species